UAAAUGUAUCUAUACCAUCCAUACAGGUAAAUCUUGGGGCAGUGUUUCAGCCUCAUGGUUUGGGUCACCUCCUUGGAUUGGAUGUGCAUGAUGUUGGAGGCUAUCUUGAAGACAACCCUCCUCGACCUCAGGAAGCUGGUUUCCGGUCUCUUCUCACAGCCAGGGUGUUAGAGGAGAACAUGGUCCUCACAAUUGAACCUGGAUGCUACUUUAUUGAUCAUCUUUUGGAUCAAGCAUUGGCUAAUCCAGCUCAGGCACAGUUUCUGGUUCCCGAGGCAAUAGCCCGCUUCCGUGGAUUUGGUGGAGUCCGGAUUGAGGAUGAUACUGUUGUGACUGCCGAUGGCAUGGAAGACCUUGCACAGGGUACUAUUUCAUGAACUGUGGAGGAGAUUGAAGAACUUAUGGCUGAAGGUCAACAGGAGGAUGUGUUUGUCCCUCAGCAUCAUGCUCAGGAGAAGCUUGGUCAGUAAUUAAUGGUGCUUUAACUUACACCAUUGAGUAAAGAAGAUGAGGAAUAGGAUGGACACAAGAAGACUUUUUAUCCUUACAUAAAAUGUAUAGUUAUUUCAGCCACGCUGUAGGUUAGAUUAUUAUAACAAAGUAAAUGUUUUGAAUUAUUAGAAAGCCAAAGGUUUAUUUGAUUAAACUUGGAACUAGACAUUUUCUAUAUUAAUGGAAAUAUGUGCCUUAGACAUUUACUGUAUUAAUGGAGAUAUGUGCCUGAAAAGAUUUUCAUAUAUAUUGGACAACUUUAUAUACAGUAUACAGGUUCUAUACUUUGUAAAAAAGGGAUCAUAUAUGAUUUAUUGCAAAUUCCCUGGAACUUUAAUAAAUAAAUUGCACUGGUUGU